AUACGGAGGGUGCAAGCGUUAUUCGGAAUCACUGGGCGUAAAGGACGCGUAGGCGGGUUGGCAAGUCAGAUGUGAAAUCCUACAGCUUAACUGUAGAACUGCAUUUGAAACUGCUAACCUAGAGUAUGGGAGGGGGAGAUGGAAUUAGUGGUGUAGGGGUAAAAUCCGUAGAUAUCACUAGGAAUACCGAAAGCGAAGGCGAUCUCCUGGAACGUAACUGACGCUAAGGCGUGAAAGCGUGGGGAGCAAACAGGAUUAGAUACCCUAGUAGUCC
rnacentral:rRNA from 1 species